AUUGAACGCUGGCGGCAUGCCUUACACAUGCAAGUCGAACGGCAGCACGGGAGCAAUCCUGGUGGCGAGUGGCGAACGGGUGAGUAAUAUAUCGGAACGUGCCCAGUCGUGGGGGGAUAACGUAGCGAAAGCUACGCUAAUACCGCAUACGAUCUAUGGAUGAAAGCGGGGGAUCGCAAGACCUCGCGCGAUUGGAGCGGCCGAUAUCAGAUUAGGUAGUUGGUGGGGUAAAGCCUACCAAGCCUUCGAUCUGUAGCUGGUCUGAGAGGACGACCAGCCACACUGGAACUGAGACACGGUCCAGACUCCUACGGGAGGCAGCAGUGGGGAAUUUUGGACAAUGGGCGCAAGCCUGAUCC
rnacentral:rRNA from 1 species